rnacentral:rRNA from 1 species
CGGCGGACGGGUGAGUAACACGUGGGUAACCUACCUAUAAGACUGGGAUAACUACGGGAAACCGGAGCUAAUACCGGAUAAUAUAUUGAACCGCAUGGUUCAAUAGUGAAAGACGGUUUUGCUGUCACUUAUAGAUGGAUCCGCGCCGCAUUAGCUAGUUGGUAAGGUAACGGCUUACCAAGGCAACGAUGCGUAGCCGACCUGAGAGGGUGAUCGGCCACACUGGAACUGAGACACGGUCCAG